rnacentral:rRNA from 1 species
AUUGAACGCUGGCGGCAUGCCUUACACAUGCAAGUCGAACGGUAACAGGUCUUCGGAUGCUGACGAGUGGCGAACGGGUGAGUAAUACAUCGGAACGUGCCUAGUAGUGGGGGAUAACUACUCGAAAGAGUGGCUAAUACCGCAUGAGAUCUACGGAUGAAAGCAGGGGAUCGAAAGACCUUGUGCUACUAGAGCGGCCGAUGGCAGAUUAGGUAGUUGGUGGGAUAAAAGCUUCCCAAGCCGACGAUCUGUAGCUGGUCUGAGAGGACGAUCAGCCACACUGGGACUGAGACACGGCCCAGACUCCUACGGGAGGCAGCAGUGGGGAAUUUUGGACAAUGGGCGAAAGCCUGAUCCAGCAAUGCCGCGUGCAGGAUGAAGGCCUUCGGGUUGUAAACUGCUUUUGUACGGAACGAAAAGCCCUGGGUUAAUACCCUGGGGUCAUGACGGUACCGUAAGAAUAAGCACCGGCUAACUACGUGCCAGCAGCCGCGGUAAAAC